rnacentral:rRNA from 1 species
AGAGUUUGAUCCUGGCUCAGGACGAACGCUCAGCGGCGUGCCUAAUACAUGCAAGUAGAACGCUGAAGAGAGGAGCUUGCUCUUCUUGGAUGAGUUGCGAACGGGUGAGUAACGCGUAGGUAACCUGCCUUGUAGCGGGGGAUAACUAUUGGAAACGAUAGCUAAUACCGCAUAACAAUGGAUGACACAUGUCAUUUAUUUGAAAGGGGCAAUUGCUCCACUACAAGAUGGACCUGCGUUGUAUUAGCUAGUAGGUGAGGUAACGGCUCACCUAGGCGACGAUACAUAGCCGACCUGAGAGGGUGAUCGGCCACACUGGGACUGAGACACGGCCCAGACUCCUACGGGAGGCAGCAGUAGGGAAUCUUCGGCAAUGGGGGCAACCCUGACCGAGCAACGCCGCGUGAGUGAAGAAGGUUUUCGGAUCGUAAAGCUCUGUUGUAAGUCAAGAACGAGUGUGAGAGUGGAAAGUUCACACUGUGACGGUAGCUUACCAGAAAGGGACGGCUAACUACGUGCCAGCAGCCGCGGUAAUACGUAGGUCCCGAGCGUUGUCCGGAUUUAUUGGGCGUAAAGCGAGCGCAGGCGGUUUGAUAAGUCUGAAGUUAAAGGCUGUGGCUCAACCAUAGUUCGCUUUGGAAACUGUCAAACUUGAGUGCAGAAGGGGAGAGUGGAAUUCCAUGUGUAGCGGUGAAAUGCGUAGAUAUAUGGAGGAACACCGGUGGCGAAAGCGGCUCUCUGGUCUGUAACUGACGCUGAGGCUCGAAAGCGUGGGGAGCGAACAGGAUUAGAUACCCUGGUAGUCCACGCCGUAAACGAUGAGUGCUAGGUGUUGGAUCCUUUCCGGGAUUCAGUGCCGCAGCUAACGCAUUAAGCACUCCGCCUGGGGAGUACGACCGCAAGGUUGAAACUCAAAGGAAUUGACGGGGGCCCGCACAAGCGGUGGAGCAUGUGGUUUAAUUCGAAGCAACGCGAAGAACCUUACCAGGUCUUGACAUCCCGAUGCUAUUUCUAGAGAUAGAAAGUUACUUCGGUACAUCGGUGACAGGUGGUGCAUGGUUGUCGUCAGCUCGUGUCGUGAGAUGUUGGGUUAAGUCCCGCAACGAGCGCAACCCCUAUUGUUAGUUGCCAUCAUUCAGUUGGGCACUCUAGCGAGACUGCCGGUAAUAAACCGGAGGAAGGUGGGGAUGACGUCAAAUCAUCAUGCCCCUUAUGACCUGGGCUACACACGUGCUACAAUGGUUGGUACAACGAGUUGCGAGUCGGUGACGGCAAGCUAAUCUCUUAAAGCCAAUCUCAGUUCGGAUUGUAGGCUGCAACUCGCCUACAUGAAGUCGGAAUCGCUAGUAAUCGCGGAUCAGCACGCCGCGGUGAAUACGUUCCCGGGCCUUGUGCACACCGCCCGUCACACCACGAGAGUUUGUAACACCCGAAGUCGGUGAGGUAACCUUUUGGAGCCAGCCGCCUAAGGUGGGAUAGAUGAUUGGGGUGAAGUCGUAACAAGGUAACC